rnacentral:rRNA from 1 species
UACGUAGGGCGCAAGCGUUAUCCGGAAUUAUUGGGCGUAAAGAGCUCGUAGGCGGUUUGUUAAGUGCAGGGUGAAAGCUCCCGGCUCAACUGGGAGAGGUCCUUGCAUACUGGCGAACUCGAGGGAGGCAGAGGAAAGUGGAAUUCCCGGUGUAGUGGUGAUAUGCGUAGAUAUCGGGAGGAACACCUGUGGCGAAGGCGGCUUUCUGGGCCUUACCUGACGCUGAGACGCGAAAGCGUGGGGAGCGAACCGG